rnacentral:rRNA from 1 species
GACGAACGCUGGCGGCGUGCUUAACACAUGCAAGUCGAACGGAAAGGCCCUGCUUUUGUGGGGUGCUCGUGUGGCGAACGGGUGAGUAACACGUGAGUAACCUGCCCUUGACUUUGGGAUAACUUCAGGAAACUGGGGCUCAUACCGGAUAGGAGCUCCUGCUGCAUGGUGGGGGUUGGAAAGUUUCGGCGGUUGGGGAUGGACUCGCGGGUUAUCCGCUUGUUGGUGGGGUAGUGGCUUACCAAGGCUUUGACGGGUAGCCGGCCUGAGAGGGUGACCGGCCACAUUGGGACUGAGAUACGGCCCAGACUCCGACGGGAGGCAGCAGGGGGGAAUAUUGCACAAUGGGCGGAAGCCUGAUGCAGCAACGCCGCGUGCGGGAUGACGGCCUUAGGGUGGUAAACCGCUUUCGCCUGAGACGAAGCGUGAGUGACGGUAAUGGGUAAAGAAGCACCGGCUAACUACGUG